CAGCCGCCGCGGUAAUACGUGGGUGGCAAGCGUUGUCCGGAAUUAUUGGGCGUAAAGGGCUCGCAGGCGGUUUCUUAAGUCUGAUGUGAAAGCCCCCGGCUCAACCGGGGAGGGUCAUUGGAAACUGGGAAACUUGAGUGCAGAAGAGGAGAGUGGAAUUCCACGUGUAGCGGUGAAAUGCGUAGAGAUGUGGAGGAACACCAGUGGCGAAGGCGACUCUCUGGUCUGUAACUGACGCUGAGGAGCGAAAGCGUGGGGAGCGAACAGGAUUAGAUACCCCUGGUAGUCCCUGUCUCUUAUA
rnacentral:rRNA from 1 species